CCAAGUUUUACACUUCCAUUCCAAAAUUGUUUACCCAAAUGCAACUUACCACUUGUGUGAUGAUUCUAAAGACAGGAAAUGGAACUGUAUUCCUAAAAUACCUUGAAAAUGCUGAGCCGAAUCAUAAAAAUUCAAUACAGCAGAUAUAUUUUUUUUUGUCAGUUGUGGUGUAAGACUAUUGAAGACUAUGCUUACUGUUUAAAUGGAAUUGGCCUGG